rnacentral:rRNA from 1 species
AGUGAACGCUGGCGAUAGGCCUAACACAUGCAAGUCGAACGGCAGCACAGUAAGAGCUUGCUCUUACGGGUGGCGAGUGGCGGACGGGUGAGGAAUACAUCGGAAUCUACUUUUUCGUGGGGGAUAACGUAGGGAAACUUACGCUAAUACCGCAUACGACCUACGGGUGAAAGCAGGGGAUCUUCGGACCUUGCGCGAUUGAAUGAGCCGAUGUCGGAUUAGCUAGUUGGCGGGGUAAAGGCCCACCAAGGCGACGAUCCGUAGCUGGUCUGAGAGGAUGAUCAGCCACACUGGAACUGAGACACGGUCCAGACUCCUACGGGAGGCAGCAGUGGGGAAUAUUGGACAAUGGGCGCAAGCCUGAUCCAGCCAUACCGCGUGGGUGAAGAAGGCCUUCGGGUUGUAAAGCCCUUUUGUUGGGAAAGAAAAGCAGCAGGUUAAUACCCCGCUGUUAUGACGGUACCCAAAGAAUAAGCACCGGCUAACUUCGUG